UACGUAGGCAGCAAGCGUUGUUCGGAGUUACUGGGCGUAAAGGGCGCGUAGGUGGUUUGUUAAGGGUGUGGUGAAAGUCCGGGGCUCAACCCCGGAUCUGCCGUGCCGACUGUCAAACUCGAGGACUGUAGAGGCAGACGGAAUUCCGGGUGUAGCGGUGGAAUGCGUAGAGAUCCGGAGGAAGACCGGUGGCGAAGGCGGUCUGCUGGGCAGUUUCUGACACUGAGGCGCGACAGCGUGGGGAGCAAACAGG
rnacentral:rRNA from 1 species